rnacentral:tRNA from 2 species
CGGGGUGUGGCGCAGCCUGGUAGCGCACCUGAAUGGGGUUCAGGAGGUCGCGAGUUCGAAUCUCGCCGCCCCGACCA